UGGUUGUAGUGGGUUCACCAGUUGUUGUUGAUGUAUCAGUGAUGGUUGUAGUGGGUUCACCAGUUGUUGUUGAUGUAUCAGUGAUGGUUGUAGUGGGUUCACUAGUUACUAUCGACACAUCAGUGAUGGUUGGAGUGGGUUCACCAGUUGGUGUUGAUGUAUCAGUGAUGGUUGUAGUGGGUUCACUAGUUACUAUCGACACAUCAAUGAUGGUUGGGAUGGGUUCACCAGUUGGUGUUGAUGUAUCAGUGAUGGUUGUAGUGGGUUCACCAGUUGUUGUUGAUGUAUCAGUGAUGGUUGUAGUGGG